GACGACGCUGGCGGCGUGCCUAACACAUGCAAGUCGAGCGUGAACCCUGCGAAUGAAACUUCGGUCGAUUUUGCAGGGGGAAAGCGGCGGACGGGUGAGUAACGCGUAGGUAACCUGCCCCAUACUGAGGGAUAGCCUCGGGAAACCGGGAUUAAUACCUCAUAACACCGUAUAUUCGCAUGGAUGUGCGGUCAAAGAUUUAUCGGUAUGGGAUGGGCCUGCGUCUGAUUAGCUGGUUGGUGGGGUAACGGCCUACCAAGGCGACGAUCAGUAGCCGACCUGAGAGGGUGAUCGGCCACAUUGGAACUGAGACACGGUCCAAACUCCUACGGGAGGCAGCAGUGGGGAAUAUUGCACAAUGGGCGAAAGCCUGAUGCAGCAACGCCGCGUGAGCGAAGAAGGCCUUUGGGUCGUAAAGCUCUGUCGGGUAGGAAGAUAAUGACGGUACUACCCGAGGAAGCCCCGGCUAACUACGUG
rnacentral:rRNA from 1 species